UACGAAGGGGGCUAGCGUUGUUCGGAAUUACUGGGCGUAAAGCGCACGUAGGCGGCCAACUAAGUCAGGGGUGAAAUCCUGGAGCUCAACUCCAGAACUGCCCUUGAUACUGGCGGUCUCGAGUCCGGGAGAGGUGAGUGGAACUGCGAGUGUAGAGGUGAAAUUCGUAGAUAUUCGCAAGAACACCAGUGGCGAAGGCGGCUCACUGGCCCGGUACUGACGCUGAGGUGCGAAAGCGUGGGGAGCAAACAGG
rnacentral:rRNA from 1 species